CCUACGGGAGGCAGCAGUGGGGAAUCUUGCGCAAUGGGCGAAAGCCUGACGCAGCAACGCCGCGUGCGGGAUGAAGGCCUUCGGGUUGUAAACCGCUUUCAGCAGGGAAGAAAUUGACGGUACCUGCAGAAGAAGCCCCGGCCAACUACGUGCCAGCAGCCGCGGUAACACGUAGGGGGCGAGCGUUGUCCGGAUUUAUUGGGCGUAAAGAGCUCGUAGGCGGUUCGGUAAGUCGGGUGUGAAACCUCCAGGCUCAACCUGGAGACGCCACCUGAAACUGCUGUGACUAGAGUCCGGUAGGGGAGUGUGGAACUCCUGGUGUAGCGGUGAAAUGCGCAGAUAUCAGGAAGAACACCAGCGGCGAAGGCGGCACUCUGGGCCGGUACUGACGCUGAGGAGCGAAAGCGUGGGUAGCAAACAGGAUUAGAUACCCUGGUAGUCCACGCCGUAAACGUUGGGCACUAGGUGUGGGUCUCAACCAACGAGAUCCGUGCCGCNGCUACGCAUUAGUGCCCGCCGUGGGAGGUACGGCCGCGAGGACGUAAACGUUAAAGGUAAGUUAGACGGCGUGUAGACGUUGCCGAGGCGACGACGAGGGGAGGAGG
rnacentral:rRNA from 1 species